rnacentral:rRNA from 1 species
GACGAACGCUGGCGGCGUGCUUAACACAUGCAAGUCGAACGCUGAAGCUUGGUGCUUGCACUGGGUGGAUGAGUGGCGAACGGGUGAGUAAUACGUGAGUAACCUGCCCUUGACUCUGGGAUAAGCCUGGGAAACUGGGUCUAAUACUGGAUACGACAUGCCACUGCAUGGUGGUGUGUGGAAAGGGUUUUACUGGUUUUGGAUGGGCUCACGGCCUAUCAGCUUGUUGGUGGGGUAAUGGCCUACCAAGGCGACGACGGGUAGCCGGCCUGAGAGGGUGACCGGCCACACUGGGACUGAGACACGGCCCAGACUCCUACGGGAGGCAGCAGUGGGGAAUAUUGUACAAUGGGCGGAAGCCUGAUGCAGCGACGCCGCGUGAGGGAUGACGGCCUUCGGGUUGUAAACCUCUUUCAGCACGGAAGAAGCGAGAGUGACGGUACGUGCAGAAGAAGCGCCGGCUAACUACGUG